ACUCAAAUGAAUUGACGGGGGCCCGCACAAGCGGCGGAGCGUGUGGUUUAAUUCGAUGCAACGCGAAGAACCUUACCAGGGCUUGACAUGCUAGUGGUACGGAUCAGAAAUGUGAAGGACCCUUCGGGGAGCUAGUACAGGUGCUGCAUGGCUGUCGUCAGCUCGUGCCGUGAGGUGUUGGGUUAAGUCCCGCAACGAGCGCAACCCCCGCUGUUAGUUAAACCUUUCUAACAGGACCGCUGGGAUAAACCCAGAGGAAGGUGGGGAUGAAGUCAAGUCAGCAUGGCCCUUACGUCCUGGGCUACACACACGCUACAAUGGCCGGUACAAUGGGCUGCCAAGGCGCGAGCCGGAGCUAAUCCCACAAAACCGGCCCCAGUUCAGAUUGCAGGCUGCAACUCGCCUGCAUGAAGGCGGAGUCGCUAGUAACCGCAGGUCAGCUACACUGCGGUGAAUACGUUCCCGGGCCUUGCACACACCGCCCGU
rnacentral:rRNA from 1 species